AUUGAACGCUGGCGGCAUGCCUUACACAUGCAAGUCGAACGGUAACAGGUCUUCGGAUGCUGACGAGUGGCGAACGGGUGAGUAAUACAUCGGAACGUGCCCGAGAGUGGGGGAUAACGAAGCGAAAGCUUUGCUAAUACCGCAUACGAUCUCAGGAUGAAAGCAGGGGACCGCAAGGCCUUGCGCUCACGGAGCGGCCGAUGGCAGAUUAGGUAGUUGGUGGGAUAAAAGCUUACCAAGCCGACGAUCUGUAGCUGGUCUGAGAGGACGACCAGCCACACUGGGACUGCAACACGGCCCAGACUCCUACGGGAGGCAGCAGUGGGGAAUUUUGGACAAUGGGCGCAAGCCUGAUCCAGCCAUGCCGCGUGCAGGAUGAAGGCCUUCGGGUUGUAAACUGCUUUUGUACGGAACGAAAAGACUCCUUCUAAUAAAGGGGGUCCAUGACGGUACCGUAAGAAUAAGCACCGGCUAACUACGUGCCAGCAGCCGCCGUAAUAC
rnacentral:rRNA from 1 species